rnacentral:rRNA from 1 species
UGGGGAAUUUUGGACAAUGGGGGCAACCCUGAUCCAGCAAUGCCGCGUGUGUGAAGAAGGCCUUCGGGUUGUAAAGCACUUUUGUCCGGGAAGAAAUCGCACCUGAUAAUACCGGGUGUGGAUGACGGUACCGGAAGAAUAAGGACCGGCUAACUACGUGCCAGCAGCCGCGGUAAUACGUAGGGUCCAAGCGUUAAUCGGAAUUACUGGGCGUAAAGCGUGCGCAGGCGGUUGUGCAAGACCGAUGUGAAAUCCCCGGGCUUAACCUGGGAAUUGCAUUGGUGACUGCACGGCUAGAGUGUGUCAGAGGGGGGUAGAAUUCCACGUGUAGCAGUGAAAUGCGUAGAGAUGUGGAGGAAUACCGAUGGCGAAGGCAGCCCCCUGGGAUAACACUGACGCGCAUGCACGAAAGCGUGGGGAGCAAACAGG